rnacentral:misc_RNA from 1 species
GUGGGCACUCACUUUAGAACACUCACACAACAUCCGAAACACAUAUACACAUUCAAAUGGAUCCUGUGCAAGAGCUUAUUGCGGGAGUUGGCCUCUCAGACCUGGAGGGCGGCCACAGACCGGCGCAGGCGUCCUCGUCAGCAUCUUCGACGGCGCUCGACCCGUCCAGCGCACCCGCGCCUGCAUCUCCUCCCGCUGCGGCACCACCGCGGCGCACAAAGAUGGUGUUCUUGUACAGCGACGAGGAUGCCGUGGACGGUGAUGACGACGGCGAGGGCCGCAGAGCGACACAGCCUGCGAACGGUGUAGCGGAGGUGCUGUGUGAUGACCACGCCAUCGCCGUCUCGGCGGACGCGCUCGCAGAAUUGCAAGCAGAGGCGGCCGAGAUGACAGCCGUGGGGAUGUCGGACGCUCAGACAUCUCUGUUGGACGCCAACGGAGACGCUAACGGCUUCUCCUUUGAAGAGGACGUGCUGAGCGGACUAGUCGGCGGUGCCUCUGUCUCUUUCAUCACCGAUGGAGGGAUGCGGGUGAGGGAGGUGACGGCACCGAGGUUGUGGGAGGGCGCCGUGGCGCCGGCUGCGUCCUCUUCUCUUCACGGCCGCGGCGCAGAUGCCGCCUCCUCGGCCGCAGACGAGUUGCCUCUCCUUCUGCGCCGGGGGCUGCCGGCUGCUGACUUUGUGCUCCAGUCGCGACGCAAACGCUUUCGUGAAGUGCCGGCGUCUGCCGGUGCCACGGUUCAGUCGUCACCCAAGGACGCUGCUGCGGCUGCGGCUGCGACUGCCGGUGAGUCUGCGGCGGCGAAUUCAGCAGCCGCGGCCGAGUCAUCCCCACAAGGUCCGUCUUCUUCCUCAGAGCUGCGUGUUGAUGACCCCCAAGGAGAGAAGCGUGACGACGGCAGUGACAGCGUCGAGGUGGAAGUGGAGGAGGAGCUCGACGUGUACCCGGUGUACGAGGAAAACGGCAGGACAGUACGUGCACUGCGAACGCGUUGCGGGUACGAGCUUACCUUGGACGAGCACGACUUGCUCGAGGACUGGGCAGAGGGGGAUGAGGAGGAUACGGAGGAGGGGCGCGCAGAUAAGGGCGAGGACGCAGCACCGCCUGCUGCCGAUGCUGUAACCGAGGGGAACGAGCAGGCCAAUGAUGGCGAUCGUGACGCGUACAAUCAUGAUGCUCCAUCGACGACGAGGGCUGUUCAGACGGCCAACUCGGCAGCCGCAGCUGCCGCAGACGAAGACGACGAAGAUGCAGACGCGGACUUGCCGGUGCGGGCAGAGGCGGGGGACUGGGGUGACUUCCAUGACUUCGACGACGAGGAGGACGAAGAGGAGGCUGAGCUCGACGAGGCAAUCAUUGUCGCUGUGGUAGAGCAGCUGGUGCGCUGCUGCGAGGCUGACGACUUGGACCCGCAGAUAAGCGUCGAGGCAGCCCGCUUCAUUGGCGCCGCCAAGCCGCUGCUGGAGCAGCUGACCAACGAGGUGAUCAGCCCAGCCGAGUUCGUGCAACGCAUGGAGGGCGACCUGCGCCGCUUCCAGCGCAUCUACAAGAGCAUCUACCGCCCCCGUGACUCACCGAUUGUGAUCGACGGCGUCGUGACCGAUUUGUGACACCUUUGCUUCCCUUCCUAAUCAUUCCUCAAUGGUUUACCGCGGCUUUCUUUUUCAGUUGGGUGCUGGGCGUUGUAUGGGGUGCUGGCUAGCUUGUACCUGUGUGUACGUCGGUGUGUCUCCCAUCACACACGCACUCGCUGUGACCGGCGAUAAGCGUAAAGCGUUUAACAAAUGUUUUCUUUUUUUUUUCGUCGGCCGAACUACACACACACACACACACACACACACACGAGUCACGCGCGCGCACUUCUUCGUGCGUGCUCACGUACGUGCGGCAUCGUCUUGUGAGUGGCCGGGGCCCGAAUGCCGUUCAUCUCCUCCCUUCCGCUCCUUUGUGGUUGGUUGGUUGGCUCUGUUCAACACGGCCGGCUGCUCCCUCCCCUUGGAUCGAUGCACCGGUGUAGGGAGGCCGUUGAGGAAGUGAUGAGACGAACACGGCCAUGAUAAUGCGCGCACAAGAGGACCUACGUGUAUUUAGGAGUGGCUUUCGUCUCUCUCUCUCUUUGUGCUAAUCCGUGCCAGCAGCAGCAGCCGCAGGGACGGGUGUACUUCCUCAUUCGCGGACGCUGCCUAUGCAUGCGUACGGGCUCCGCCCCAUCACACUCUCGAAGCACACAAGCUACAUUACCUCACUUUUCUCUUUCCUCUCUUCUCCAUCCCUCCCUCGGAUGCGCAUACAUGCCAACACGCUUGCCGACCGUGGCACAG